rnacentral:rRNA from 1 species
CCUGGAAGGCUAAGUUGCGCGGACGGGUGAGUAACGCGUGACACUCUGGCUACAGGAUGGGGACAACAGUUGGAAACGACUGCUAAUACCCGAUGUGCCGAGAGGUGAAAGAUUUAUCGCCUGUAGAUGAGCUCGCGUCAGAUUAGCUAGUUGGUGGGGUAAGGGCCCACCAAGGCGACGAUCGGUAGCUGGUCUGAGAGGAUGAUCAGCCACACUGGGACUGAGACACGGCCCAGACUCCUACGGGAGGCAGCAGUGGGGAAUUUUCCGCAAUGGGCGAAAGCCUGACGGAGCAAGACCGCGUGAGGGAAGAAGGUCUGUGGAUUGUAAGAGGGCUUUUGAUUGGGAAGAAUACUGACGGUACCAAUCGAAUCAGCCUCGGCUAACUCCGUGCCAGCAGCCGCGGUAAUA